GGCUAGCAAUGUUAUCAACAAGUCAAAUCCUCACUCCAUGAACCCCAGAGUAUUCAUUGGGAAUCUCAACACUCUUGUGGUCAAGAAGUCUGAUGUGGAAGCAAUCUUUUCAAAGUAUGGCAAAACUGUGGGUGGCUCUGUUCAUAAGGGCUUUGCCUCUGUUCACUGUGUUCAUGAGAGAAAUAUCCAGCCUACUGUGGCAGGAGGGGAUGGCAGAAUGAUUGCCGGCCAAGUUUUAGAUACUAAUCUGGCUGCAGAGCUGAAAGUGAACUGAGGAAAAGCCGGCGUGAGAUGAUCUGCAGCGGAGAUGUAUGGCUCCUCUUUUGACUUGGUCUGUGAUUUUCAAUGGGAUUAUUAUGACAGGAUGCACCGUGAUCCAGCACAUGCUUCUCCUCCUCCUCCUAGUGCUUGGGCUGUAGUACCCUCAAAACGCCAGCAUGUAUCAGGAAACACCUCACAAAGGGGCAAAAGUGGCUUUAAUUCUAAGAGUGGGCAGUGGGGAUCUUCCGAAUUGAAAGGAGAUGACCUUCAGGCCAUAAGAAGGAAUUGACCCAGAUAAAACAAAAAGUGGAUUCUCUACUGGAAAAUCUGGAGAAAUUUGAAAAGGAGGAGAGCCUACAAGGAGUAGAGUUGAAGGAUGUGAAGACAGAUGACGGGCCGAGCAGCAGCUCCGUGAAGUAAGAUGAGACUAAUGUGAAGAUGGAAUCUGAGGGGCUGCAGAUGACUCUGCUGAGGAGAAGGACCUGCUGGAUGACGACGAUACUGAAUGUGGGGGUGACCAACUGUAGAUAAUCAAGGAUGAUGAAAAAGAGGCUGAGAGAGGGGAGGAUGACAGAGACAGCGCCAGUGGCGGGAAUGA
rnacentral:lncRNA from 1 species